AUUGAAUCCUCCAAAGGCAUGUACUAGUUGGUCAUUGAAUCCUCCAAAUGUAUGCAUUGGUUGGUCAUCCUCAUAAAGUGUAGGACAUCGGGAAGUUAGGUGUCCCACAUAUCCACAGAUCAUACAUGGCUUGGGUGGUUGGGGUGCUUGAACCUGUUGAACUAGUUCUAUGGCCAAAUCCUUCAUAAAAGAUGUCAGAAAAGAGAGAUCAAGUCUACUUACCUCAUCC
rnacentral:lncRNA from 1 species